rnacentral:rRNA from 1 species
AUUGAACGCUGGCGGCAUGCCUUACACAUGCAAGUCGAACGGCAGCACGGGAGCUUGCUCCUGGUGGCGAGUGGCGAACGGGUGAGUAAUGCAUCGGAACGUGCCCUGAAGUGGGGGAUAACGUAGCGAAAGUUACGCUAAUACCGCAUAUUCUGUGAGCAGGAAAGCAGGGGAUCUUCGGACCUUGCGCUUUUGGAGCGGCCGAUGUCGGAUUAGCUAGUUGGUGGGGUAAAGGCCCACCAAGGCGACGAUCCGUAGCGGGUCUGAGAGGAUGAUCCGCCACACUGGAACUGAGACACGGUCCAGACUCCUACGGGAGGCAGCAGUGGGGAAUUUUGGACAAUGGGCGCAAGCCUGAUCCAGCCAUGCCGCGUGAGUGAAGAAGGCCUUCGGGUUGUAAAGCUC